GACGAACGCUGGCGGCGUGCUUAACACAUGCAAGUCGAACGGAAAGGCCCUGCUUUUGUGGGGUGCUCGAGUGGCGAACGGGUGAGUAACACGCGAGUAACCUGCCCUUGACUUUGGGAUAACUUCAGGAAACUGGGGCUAAUACCGGAUAGGAGCUCCUGCUGCAUGGUGGGGGUUGGAAAGUUUCGGCGGUCGGGGAUGGACUCGCGGCAUAUCAGCUUGCUGGUGGGGUAGUGGCUUACCAAGGCUUUGACGGGUAGCCGGGCUGAGAGGGUGACCGGCCACAUUGGGACUGAGAUACGGCCCAGACUCCUACGGGACGCAGCAGUGGGGAAUAUUACACAGUGGGCUGGAGCCUGAUGCAACAACGCCGCGUGCGGGAUGACGGCCUUCGGGUUGUAAACCGCUUUCGCCUGUGACGAAGCGUGAGUGACGGUAAUGGGUAAAGAAGCACCGGCUAACUACGUG
rnacentral:rRNA from 1 species